rnacentral:rRNA from 1 species
GACGCUAGCGGUAGGCCUAACACAUGCAAGUCGAACGGUAACAUAAGAGCUUGCUCUUGAUGACGAGUGGCGAACGGGUGCGUAACACGUAUACAAUCUACCUUUAACUGAGGGAUAGCCCAGAGAAAUUUGGAUUAAUACCUCAUAGUAUUAUUUUAAGGCAUCUUAUUAUAAUUAAAACUCCGGUGGUUAAAGAUGAGUAUGCGUUCUAUUAGUUUGUUGGUGAGGUAACGGCUCACCAAGACUACGAUAGAUAGGGGGCCUGAGAGGGUGAUCCCCCACACUGGUACUGAGACACGGACCAGACUCCUACGGGAGGCAGCAGUGAGGAAUAUUGCGCAAUGGAGGAAACUCUGACGCAGCCAUACCGCGUGUAGGAAGAAUGUCCUAUGGAUUGUAAACUACUUUUAUACAAGAAGAAACUUCGGUACGUGUAUCGAAUUGACGGUAUUGUACGAAUAAGCACCGGCUAACUCCGUGCCAGCAGCCGCGGUAAUACGGAGGGUGCAAGCGUUAUCCGGAUUUAUUGGGUUUAAAGGGUCCGCAGGCGGGAUUCUAAGUCAGUGGUGAAAGCCUACAGCUCAACUGUAGAACUGCCAUUGAUACUGGAAUCCUUGAGUGUGGUUGAAGUAGACGGAAUAUGUCAUGUAGCGGUGAAAUGCAUAGAUAUGACAUAGAACACCAAUUGCGUAGGCAGUUUACUAAACCAUUACUGACGCUCAUGGACGAAAGUGUGGGGAGCGAACAGGAUUAGAUACCCUGGUAGUCCACACCGUAAACUAUGAUCACUAGAUGUUGGCGAUAUACAGUCAGUGUCUUAGAGAAAUCGUUAAGUGAUCCACC